AUUGAACGCUGGCGGCAGGCCUAACACAUGCAAGUCGAGCGGAGUGGCGGACGGGUGAGUAAUGCCUAGGAACCUGCCUGGUAGCGGGGGAUAACGUCCGGAAACGGGCGCUAAUACCGCAUACUAUUAGAUGGGCCUAGGUCGGAUUAGCUAGUUGGUGGGGUAACGGCCUACCAAGGCGACGAUCCGUAACUGGUCUGAGAGGAGGAUCAGUCACACUGGAACUGAGACACGGUCCAGACUCCUACGGUAGGCAGCAGUGGGGAAUAUUGGACAAUGGGCGAAAGCCUGAUCCAGCCAUGCCGCGUGUGUGAGGAAGGUCUUCGGAUUGUAAAGCACUUUUAGUUGGGAAGCGGUACCUACAGAAUAAGCACCGGCUAACUACGUGCCAGCAGCCGCGGUAAUAC
rnacentral:rRNA from 1 species